AUGCAGGAGCGCUCCAUGGACUCUCGGCUGCCCUCUGUUUAUGGGAGUACCCUUCCCUUGGAUUGCAAGAUAUCCCUGAUUGAUAUUGGGCUGGUGAUAGAGUACCUCCUUGGCGGAGCUUACCAGAGUAGCUACACAAGGAAACAUUUCAGAAUCCUGUAGAACAAUCUCUACAGAAAACACAAGGUAACAUCUGCAAAAUGGCUACUGCUGGUCACCAAGGAAAGCCAAAAUGUGACACCUAAAAAUAGCUCAGGUUAUCAUUGUGAUUUAACUGAAAAGUGUUGGUUAAAUGUAUUCCAUGCUUAGUCUGUUUUGUGGAUCUCUUAGUCAGCUGUGAUAACUUUGCAGAUAAAAUGGACAAAUCCCUCCCAAACUACCCCCCCCCCCCCAACCCCGGUGACCGUUAAAUUAACUAUUAUUAGUUCAUCAGACUCCCCUUUGUGUCUGAUAGACAGGUUGCAUUCUUUUCUCUGGCAUUCAUCAAUAAAAACCUUCAAGGCUGUACCA
rnacentral:lncRNA from 1 species